GUAAGAUCAUUGUGCAGGCAGGCAGUUGUUUUGAUCCUAGAUGUGUCCCGUCCUCUCGGGUUUUGUUUUGGCAUUAGGCUUUCCACCUGCCUCAUCCAUCUUAUAAACGUUUCUGUUUAAUGGUUGAUUUACAGCUUUGAAACUCAGAGGAAUGGACUGGUGUUUAUCUAUGACAUGUGUGGUUCUAAUUAUGCCAACUUCGAGCUGGAUCUUGGCAAGAAAGUCCUAAACCUGCUGAAGAGUCCAGGUCCUCUGCCAGAAACCAGCACGUGAUCACAUCUCAGGCGUCCUUCCGGGGAAGAAGUUGUGCAGGUGUCACUGCUGUUACAGGAAGAAGGAGCGCUGAAAAGAAAGAAGGAGCAGAAGAAAAUGUUUCUUCUUUCUGGUUUUCUGGAGUGUCGUCAUGGAGGGCUGGAGAGAGGGGAUGAGACAGAAACCUCAGGGACGGCGUGAGGCUCCAGAGCUUCCCUCUCCUCCCGCUGUUGUGGGGUCCCUGGCUGCCAGAGGCUCCUUCACCCCACCAGUGCCCAGCCCAGCUCAGCGUCUCUGCCUGACUCAACCCACUCCUCCCUCUGCUGCUCAUCAGAAUCCGAGAGCAGCGGCUCGCAGCCCGCAGCGCUGUGUGGAUGGUGGGGCUGCCGGGGCAGAAACCGGGAGAAACAGAGAGGAGCUGCUCAGUGCCAGGUGUGGCUGGGGGCUCCCGGGGGAGGAGGACCCAGCUUUGUGGCCAAGGCCGAGGCCAUGGCUGCCGGCUGGAUGCUCGAUUUCUCCGAGGACCCUCGCCCAACCUGCGACAGCGCCGAGGCUGUUCUUCACGGACUGUCGAGUCCAACCGCUUAUCGAUUGAGAACUGUAUACAUGUGUCAGUUUUUGACAAGAAUUGCAGCAGGAAAAAACUUGGAUGCACAGUUUGAAAAUGACGAACGAAUUGGAACAGCCCUGAUGAGCUGGGGUUCAAUUGAAAAGGAAAAGGACGAACUUCACGAAGAAAUACAGAAUUUAAUAGAAACUGAGGCUAUCGCUGUUUGUAUGGAAAAUGGGCAACUUUAAAGAAGCAGAAGUCUUUGAAAGAAUAUUUGGUGAUCCAAAUUCUUACAUGCCUUUAAAAAGGAAAUUGCUUAUGAUAAUCUCUCAGAAAGAUACGUUUCAUUACUUUUUUUCAACACUUCAGCUACAACUGCAUGAUGGAGAAAAUGAAGAGUUAUGUGAAUUAUGUGCUAAGUGAAAAAUCAUCCACCUUUCUAAUGAAGGCAGCAGCAAAAGCCUAGAAAGUAAAAGAGCAAGAACAAUAACUUCUCAAGACAAACCCAAUGGUAAUGAUGUUGAAAUGGAAACUGAAGCUAAUUUGGAUACAAGAAAAAGGUCGCAUGAGAAUCUUUUCUUAUCUAGGUUGAAACAUGGAACCCAGCAACGAGACCUUCAAAAGAAAGAAAUAAAGAAGAGUAGGAACUCUUCAAAGUGCGAGAAAGAAAAAAGAAAGCAGAAGAGCCAUUGAAAGUAGGAUACCUGUAUCAAAGGGUCAACUGGUGACCCCGGAAAAGCACUGAGCUAGAAAAAGACAGGUGUGGCUUUGGGAAGAAGACAAGAAUUUGAGAUCUUGAAUGAGGAAAUUUGGAGAGGGUAACAUCUCAAAUACUGUUGCAAUAUAAAUUCAACGACCUGACAAAUGUCCUGUUAAAAGGCACAAUGAAGAAACUAAAAUGGAUUUGCUUAGACAGUGAAGACUGUGCUUGUAAAACUUGGUGAAAGGAUGAUUACGUAUUUUCAUCACUACAUUUUGUUUGAAACUUGCAUCGUUGAUAUAUUUUCAACCUUUAAAUCAUUACAGUAUUUUUCUGUGACUGUCAAUUGAGGAUUUGUGCUGGAAGAGUUAAAGUAUAUGCUUUCGUAUUCUUUAAGAACUUGAUUUUGAUAAACUGUAAAUUUGUUGAAGCCCACCACAUUUAGCAUUCCCACACCCAAAUCCUGUUCCAGUGAAAAAAUUAAAAGCUGAUAUAAAAACUUUUAAUUAACCUAUUUUGUAUCUGUAGGCUGACCUCAACCAUGUAACGUAACCCAUUAAAAUGAAUUUGCUAGAUGAUUGAAUAACAAUAGUCCUUUGGUAUGAGAUCAUGACUUGGCUUAUGGCCUUAAUAUGCUACUUAAUUACUUAAGACUUGUAUUAAUAGAAUGAUAAAUGUACAAAGUAACCGAUAAGCAUGACAUACUUUUGCUUUCAAUGGUUUCAUGUAAAGAAAAAACACUUGAACACAAUAAUACUCAAGGACACAAGUGAACAAUAGACACUGGGAAGGGUGGAUGGGAGCGAGAGCUGAAAACUGCCUACUGGGUGCUCUGCUCACUACCUGGGUGAUGGGAUCAUCCGUGUCCCAAACCUCAGCAGUGCACAGUGUACCCAGCUAAGAAACCUGCCCAUGUGUUCCCUGAAUCUAAAAUAAAAAUAAAUUUUAUUAGUACCCAUGGAACAAAAUUUGUACUGUUAGCAAGACUCACUUUCUGUCUCACUUGGAAACAAUUUGACUUUUGUUCCAGUGUUUAAACUUUGACAAAAAUGGUUUUGAAUAGAUCUGUAUAACCUGAUACCAUAAAUAUAAUAUAACCUGAUACCAUAAUAUAAGAUUCUCUGAUACAUUCAUUUAAUAUAUCAAUAUUGAGCCAAAAACAAUAUUCUGUAAGGCUUAAAUAGCUAUUGACUAUGAGCACCUUGACGUCUAUGAUAGGUAAUAACCAAGGCCAUACAUACCUUACUGAACAGUUUUGGUUUUUCACUAACAUUGUAUUCUUUAAAGAUUUAGACUCACAGAAUUAUUUAGCAUUUUGAGUUGUGUGCUUUAUUUAGCAAGUGAGUAAAAAUAUUGAAAUAUUGAAGCAUUUGCAUAAAAAAGCAAAUGGUAGUGUUUUGCAAUCUGUAUUUUAUUUCCUAUUAAGGUUUUAUAUGUUACUUUCCCAUAGUUCCUGAAUUUGUUAUCCUAUAUACUAUAUAUAAACAGAAACAAGGAUAUUUAAAAAAAAAAAAAAAAAAAUCUGAGAGCUGCGCAGCGGCGCCACCCUGUGGCCACAGGGCUAAGAACGGUGACCCUUAGCUCCCACCUCAUCUGCUCAGCCAAGACCUCCCCUGAGGAGACCCAGGGAGACCUGGGCUCCCGGCAGCAGGAAAGGGGUCUGAACACAAGAGGGCACCCCUACCCCAUGUCACGGUUGGGAUCGGCCGUGUCUGUGUGCAUCUAUUCAUGUGCUCUUUACUAUAUUCCACUGAAUUAUGCCUAUUUUAUACCAAUGUCACACUGCUUUUAAUUACUAGAGGUUUACUCUUAUUCUUUUUUUUUUUAAGAAGAGAAAAAGAAGGGGAAAAAAGAAAAAGAGGGAAAAAGGAAUAUUACUUCAUUCCUAAAAUGGGUUUUAAUAAUGGCCAAUCAAUAUUUUGAGUAUUUAAAGUGGUUAAUGCAUAUUUUAUGUGUUUAAAAUGGAGACCUCUAUUGUGUUUAUUUGUUCUGGCUCUGAGUUCAAGUCCUGGAUAUCGUUAUCAAUUUGUUGUCUCGUUGAAUCUAAAUCUCAUUAUGUGUCUUAUGUAUCUGGGUGUUAAGAUCUCUUAUUGUUACAUUAAUCCUUUUACCCUUGCAUCCUUGCAGCUUUGAAAUCUAUUUUAUUAAGUGUGAGAAUUGCAACUCCUGCUUUUUAUUUAUUUAUUUUUGCUCUCCAUUUGGUUGGUGAGUUUUUUUCCAUCCCCUUGAGUCUUUGUAUAUCUUUAGAUAUAUCGUUAGAUUUUGUGGAUAAUGUAUAUUUUGUGUGUUUAAAAUGGAGAGCUCUAUUGAGUUUAUUUGUUCUGGAUCUUAGUUCCAGUCCCGGAUAUCGUUAUCAAUUUUCUGUCUCGUUGAAUCUAAAUCUCAUUAUGGGUCUUAUGUAUCUGGGUGUUAAGAUCCCUUAUUAUUACAUUAAUCCUUUUACCCUUGUAUCCUUGUAGCUUUGAAAUCUAUUUUGUCAAAUGUGAAAAUUGCAACUCCUGCUUUUUAUUUAUUUAUUUUUGCUCUCCAUUUGGUUGGUACGUUUUUCUUUUCCAACCCUUUAUUUUGAGUCUAUGUAUAUCUUUGGAUAUACUGUUAGAUUUUGUCUGUAUCUUUUGAUUGGGAGAUUUGGUCGGUUUAAAUUUAGGGUUGCUGCCAUUUUAUAUUAACUGGUUAUUUUGUCCUUUCGUUGAUAAAAAUUCUUCUUUAUGUCAAUGCUCUUUACUUUUUGGUGUAUUUUUAGAAAGGGUCAUACUGGUUGUUCCUUUCUGUGUAUAACGCUUCUUUUAGAAGUUCUUGUAAAGCAGGCCUAGUGGUAAUAAAAUCUCUGAGUACUUGCUUGUUCCUAAAAGAUUUUAUUUUUCCUUCAAAUGUAAAGCUUAAAUUGGCAGGAUAUGAAAUUCUGGGCUGAAAGUUCUGUUGAUUAAGUAUAUUGAAUAUUGGCCCCCACUCUCUUCUAGCUUGUAGGGUUUCCAUUGAGAGAUCUGCUGUAAGCCUAAUAGGCUUACCUUUAUGGGUAACUUGAUCUUUCUCUCUGGCUGCCCUUAAUAUUUUCUCCUUCGUUUUGAUCUUGGUGAAUCUAACGAUUAUGUGCCUUGGGGUUGGUCUUCUUGAGGAAUAUCUUUGUGGUGUUCUCUGUAUUGCCUGGGGUUGAAUAGUGUCCUGCUUUGCUAAAUUAGGAAAAUUUUCCUGGAUAAUGUCCUGGAGAGUAUUUUCCAGCUUGAAUUCAUUCUUUCCGUCACAUUCAGGUACACCAAUCAAGCGUAUAUUAGGUCUUUUCACAUAGUCCCAUAUUGCUUGGAGACUUUGCUCAUUCCUUUUUAUCCUUUUUUCUCUAUUCUUGUCUUGUCGUUUUGUUUCAUUAAGUUGGUCUUCGACCUCUGAUACCCUUUCUUCUGCUUGAUCCAUUCGGCUGUUUAAGCUUGUACAUAUUUCACUAAGUUCUCGUGUUGUACUUUUCAACUCCAUAAGUUCAUUUGUAUUCCUCUAUAUUGUCUAUUCUUUUCAACAUUUCAUCUAACCUUUUUUCCAAGUUCUUAGUUUCUUUACAUUGGGUUAGAACAAGUUCCUUUAAGUCUCAGAAGUUUCUUAUCAUCCACCUUUUAAAGCCUACUUCAGAUAAUGGAACACAGUCCUUUUCCAUCAGGGCUUGUUCCAUUACUGAUGAGUCCUUUUCCAUCAGGGCUUGUUCCGUUGCUGAUGAGUCCUUUUCCAUCAGGGCUUGUUCCGUUGCUGAUGGGUUCUGAUUUUGAGUAUACUUGGCCUUCUUAGGCCGUUUUUUUCCCUUCAUUGUAGAUGAACUGCCUUUCUAAUUAGGUUUCUGAGUUGACGUCCGACUUAUUGAUUCCCAGUGCUGGGAUCCGAGCAACCCACUGUGGCAGCCUAAAUAGCAGCGAUAAAACUGAUGGUGCUCUUCUGCCCGGGAAUCUCUGGUCUGGCUUCCCUCUUGAGUCCGCAACAAGCGGCUCUGACUUCCCGGAGCUCCAAACUCCGGUCAGUAGGGGAAGUAGUCCCGUUGGCUCUGCAUGAAGAGCUGCUGCGCCGAGAUGCCGGCAAAACCGCUGCGGCAGCCACAAGAGUCGCGCUGGCGACCCGUGGGGCUCCUCCACUGGGAAUCGGCUAAUCGGUGAGUGACGAAAAUUCGUCUAAAGAUGUGGCGUCGUCUCGUUCUCUGAGCUUUCACUGGGAGCUACAAUCCUGAGCUGUUAGUGGUUGGCCAUCUUGGAUCGAUCUCUACUAGAGGUUUAUAGUAAAUCUUGAAAUCACUCACUAUGCAUCCUCCAAAUUCCUUUUUUUUUUUUUUGAGACGGAGUUUCACUUGUUACCCAGGCUGGAGUGCAAUGGUACGAAAUUGGCUCACCGUAACCUCCACCUCCACCUCCUGGGUUCAGGCAAUUCUCCUGCCUCAGCCUCCUGAGCAGCUGGGAUUACAGGCACACGCUACCAUGCCCAGCUAAUUUUUUGUAUUUUUAGUAGAGACGGGGUUUCACCAUGUUGACCAGGAUGGUCUCGAUCUCUUGAUCUCGUGAUCCACCCAUCUCGGCCUCCCAAAGUGCUGGGAUUACAGGCUUGAGCCACCGCACCUGGCCUCCAAAUUCCUUCUUUUUAAAAAUUAUUUCAGCUAUUCAAACUUACUUGUAUUUCUAUAGAAAUGGUAGCUUCAACUUGUGAAUUUAACAUUUCUUUUAAAGCUCACCAGUGUCUUAAAUGAAAAUGCACUUAAUUUAAUAGCUCAAUCUUGGAGAAGUAGUAACACUGGAUAUUCCAGUUCUUGAAUACACAAUUUCUGUUAAUUUUGAUCUUCUUUACUUUCUGUCAGUAGUGCUUGUAGAUCUUAGUGUAGAAAUUAUACAAACUAUUAAAAAAUUGAUGCCUGAACAUGGUAUUACUUUGCUAAUUUUUAUUUUGAGACAGAGUUUUGCUCUAGUUGCCCAGGUAGAAUGCAAUGACGUGAUGCUGGCUCACUGCAACCUCUGCCUCCUGGGCUCAAAAGAUCUCCUGCCUCAACCUCCUGAGUACCUGGGAUUGCAGGCUUCCACCAUCAGCCUAAUUUUGUACUUUAGUAGACAGAGGAUUUCGCCAUGUUGGCCAGGCUGGUCUGGAACUCCUGACCUCAAGUGACCCAACCACAUUGGCCUCCCAAAAUGUUGGGAUUACAGACAUGAGCCUCUGCACCCAGCCUGUUUUGAUUAUAUUAAUUGAGUUGUGUUAUUUGCAGUUCAUUUGAAUCAAACACUUUCCCAUAAACCAAUAUGGAAUGACAUAUUUUUUUUAAUUUGUCUUUGAAUUUAUUAACUUCUUGCACCUAAUUUUUGGUCUUUGUUCAAGAGAAAUAUGCUUGGUUCUUUUUUCUAAUUUUGUUGUGUGAAUUUUCUUUUUUUAAUGUGAGUAAUAUUGGCCUCAUAAAUCCAGUUGAAAAUAGUUGCCUCCUUUAAUUUCUAAAAAGGUGUGUGUAAAAUUGAUGUUAUUUUUCAACUGUGUGUUUCAUACAAUUCCUCAGCAAAGCCUUCUAGACCUUCUGUAUUCUCUGUGGGAAGGAUUUUAAUUACAAAUUCAAUUUCUACAAUUUAUAUAUGGCUGGUCACAUUUUCUGUUUCUUCUUAGGUCAGUUUUCACGACUUUUCUCUCUCAAGGAAAUUGUUCAUUUGGAUGUCAAGCUUAUUGGCACAAAAUUAUUAAUAUUCCUUUUCUUGACCUGAAGGUCACAGUGGUCUGAGGUUCUUUUAUUCCUGAUAUUGUUACUUUGUAUUUUUUUGUUUUGAUCAAUCUAGCUAGGGUUUUAUAAAAUUUACUGAUUAUUUUCCCACACAACCAACUUUAGGAUUAAUUUUAUUUAUCUUUCAAAGUAAUUUACUUGUUUCAUUAUUUCCUUCCUCUGCGUGCUUUGGUUUAAUUUGUUCAUUUUUGUUUUUUACAGCAGAAGCUAAGUUACUAAUUUGACAUCUUCUUUUUAAAUCAAGGUACUUAAAAAUGUCAAUUUUUCUCUAUUAUUUCAGCUGCAUCCCACAGAUUUUGAUUUAUUGUACUUUAAUAUCCUUCAGUUAAGAGGAUUUCCUAAUUUAUCUUGUGAUUUCUUCUUUGACAAAAUUGUCAUUUAGAGUUUUGAUGUUUAAUUUCCAAAUACUUAGUAUUUUUACAAUCAUCUAUCUUAGUUUAUUUGGGCUCCUGUAACAGAAUACCAUAGUCUGUGUGGAUUAUAAACAAAAGAAAUCUAUUUCUCACAAUUCCAGAGCCUGGGAAGUCCAAGGUCAAGACAAUAGCAGAAUGAGUGUGUGAUUAAGGGUGUUUCCAGAUUCACAGAUGGUGUCUUUUCUUGGUGUUCUUACAUGGUGGAAGGGGCAAAGAAACUCAAUGAAAUUUAUUUUAUAAGAACACUAACCUAAUUAACAAGGGAUCUGCCCUCAUGACUUAAUCACCUCCAAACACCAUCACAUUAGGGAUUAGGUUUAAAUAUAUGAAUUUAGAAAAUGACAAAAACAUCCAGUCCACAGGAUCACCUUAUUGCUACCAAUUUCUAAUGCGUUUUCAUAUGGUCAGAAAAUAUGUCUUGCAGGAUGUCAAUAUUUUCAAAUGUAUUGUUUGAUGGCCUGAAAUAUAGUUUCUCUUGGUAAAUGUAUCAUUCACACCUGAAACUAUAUUUUUUCAUUGAUGUUCAUAUGUAUUUAUAUACAUAAAGUCUGUGUGGUUAAUGCUUGUUUUUCUAGGUUAUUUGUUGGAAUUUUCUAUAGUUUUUAAAUUUAUUGCUAAAGUUUUAACAUAUCUAAUCAUGCUCAUAGAAUUCUCCAUUUCUCUCCGUAAUUUUGUCCAUUUUUUUGUGAACUCUGAAGUUAAGCUAUUGGGUGGAUUUCUGAUUGCAUGUCUUUUUGUUGUAUUGAUGCUGUUGUUAUUAUGAAAUGUCUCUUUUUUAUCUCUGGUGAUACAUUUCAUUUGAAAAUCU